rnacentral:rRNA from 1 species
UACGUAGGGUGCGAGCGUUAUUCGGAAUUACUGGGCGUAAAGCGUGCGCAGGCGGUGCGCUGUGUCCGAUGUGAAAGCCCCGGGCUUAACCUGGGAAUGGCAUUGGAAACUGGCUCGCUGGAGUGUGGCAGAGGGGGGUGGAAUUCCUGGUGUAGCAGUGAAAUGCGUAGAUAUCAGGAGGAACAUCGAUGGCGAAGGCAGCCCCUUGGGCCUGUACUGACGCUCAUGAACGAAAGCGUGGGGAGCAAACAGG